UACGUAGGGCGCAAGCGUUAUCCGGAAUUAUUGGGCGUAAAGAGCUCGUAGGCGGUUUGUCGCGUCUGCUGUGAAAUCCCGAGGCUCAACCUCGGGUCUGCAGUCGAUACGAGCAAACUAGAGUGUUGCAGGGGAGACUGGAAUUCCUGGUGUAGCGGUGAAAUGCGCAGAUAUCAGGAGGAACACCGGUGGCGAAGGCGGGUCUCUGGGCAACAACUGACGCUGAGGAGCGAAAGCGUGGGGAGCGAACAGG
rnacentral:rRNA from 1 species